UACGUAGGGCGCAAGCGUUAUCCGGAAUUAUUGGGCGUAAAGAGCUCGUAGGCGGUUUGUCGCGUCUGCCGUGAAAGUCCGGGGCUCAACUCCGGAUCUGCGGUGGGUACGGGCAGACUAGAGUGAUGUAGGGGAGACUGGAAUUCCUGGUGUAGCGGUGAAAUGCGCAGAUAUCAGGAAGAACACCCGUGGCGAAGGCGGUUCUCUGGGACGGUACUGACGCUGAGACGCGAAAGCGUGGGGAGCGAACAGG
rnacentral:rRNA from 1 species